GAUGAAGAACGUAGCGAAAUGCGAUACUUGGUGUGAAUUGCAGAAUCCCGUGAACCAUCGAGUCUUUGAACGCAAGUUGCGCCUCAAGCCAUUAGGUUGAGGGCACGUCUGCCUGGGCGUCACAUAUCGUUGCCUGAUGCCAGUUUCCUCGUGAUGGGUGACUGUGCAGGGCGAAUGAUGGCUUCCCGUGAGCAUUGUUGCCUCAUGGUUGGUUGAAAAUUGAGUCCUUGGUAGGGAGCGCCGUGAUAGGUGGUGGUUGAGUGACGAACGAGACCCAAUCAUGUGAGACCCCUACCGAAUUUGGCCUUCAUGACCCACAUGCGUCUUUGGAACGCUCAUGACGAGACCUCAGGUCAGGCGGGGCUACCCGCUGAGUUUAAGCAUAUCAAUAAGCGGAGGA
rnacentral:misc_RNA from 1 species